rnacentral:lncRNA from 1 species
AUUAUAUAUACCUUAAUGUAAGUAAAUCAUAUGAUAUAUAGGUGGCAUUCUUUGGGCCACUCUACCCCCUCCUGUUUGAUAACUUGGAAACGGUCGAGCUCCCCACCCCUAAACCAUAUGAGGGGCAGAUCCAGGAUUUUAGGUUAGGAGGGGCGCAAACUUAAAUUUUCGCCGAGCAGAGCGAGGCUAAAAAAAAUUGAGGUAAAAUUAUCGGAAUAUUCUUUAUUAAGCUGAGAACAACCCAUGCUUUGCAAAUUUAAGGGGGGUGCAAGCCCGCAACCCUCCCCCGUCUGAAUCCGCCCCUGCAUAUAUUCAAGUUUAGGACAAUAUAAUAAAUAAAAAAUGAAAUAUAGGGGAGUCCAUGGAGUUACCCCACCCCCUCCUGUUUGAGAACUUGGAAACGGUCGAGAUCCACACCCCUUAACCAUAUAUAUUCAUGUUUGUGACAAUAUGAAAAAUUCAAAUGAAAUAUAGGAAGAGUCGCUGGGGGUCACCCCACCCUUCCUGUUUUAGAAUUUAAAAAUGGUCGAGUUCCCCACCCCUAAACCAUAUAUAUUCAUGUAUGGGACAAUAUAACAAAUCAGAUGAAAUAUAGGGGGAGUCCCUUGGGUCACCCACCCCCUCCUGUUUGAGAAUUUGAAACCCAUUGAGAUCGCCACCCCUUAACCAUAUAUAUUCAUGUACGGGACAAUAUAACAAUUCAAAUGAAAGAUAGGGGGA